AGUGAACGCUGGCGGCGUGCCUAAUACAUGCAAGUCGAACGGACGAGUAAGAGCUUGCUCUUAUGAGUUAGUGGCGCACGGGUGAGUAAUGUAUAGCUAAUCUGCCCUACACUAGAGGACAACAGUUGGAAACGACUGCUAAUACUCUAUACUCCUCUCUAGCAUAAGUUAGAUAGGGAAAGUUUUUCGGUGUAGGAUGAGGCUAUAUUGUAUCAGCUAGUUGGUGAGGUAAUGGCUCACCAAGGCUAUGACGCAUAACUGGUCUGAGAGGAUGAUCAGUCACACUGGAACUGAGACACGGUCCAGACUCCUACGGGAGGCAGCAGUAGGGAAUAUUGCUCAAUGGGGGAAACCCUGAAGCAGCAACGCCGCGUGGAGGAUGACACUUUUCGGAGCGUAAACUCCUUUUGUUAGGGAAGAACAAUGACGGUACCUAACGAAUAAGCACCGGCUAACUCCGUGCCAGCAGCCGCGGUAAUACGGAGGGUGCAAGCGUUACUCGGAAUCACUGGGCGUAAAGGACGCGUAGGCGGAUUAUCAAGUCUCUUGUGAAAUCCUAUGGCUUAACCAUAGAACUGCUUGGGAAACUGAUAAUCUAGAGUGAGGGAGAGGCAGAUGGAAUUGGUGGUGUAGGGUAA
rnacentral:rRNA from 1 species